GCCGCCAUGGCUUAGGGGUUAAAGUGCCUGUCUAGUAAACAGGAGACCCCCGGUUCGAAUCCGGGCGGUGGCU